rnacentral:lncRNA from 1 species
CAGCUUGGUACACCACCUUAAAGAUCAACUUACAAAGACAAUGUAAGUCUGGGAACCUGUUGUCCCAUGUUAUGAGGUAGCAUAAGAAGGUGAACUCCCUGGCCCUACAUCCGUUAUCCUGGAUAACCUUGUGGAGGCAUCAUUGGGGUCUGGGAACCUGUUGCCCCAUGUUAGGAGGCUGCAUAGGUGGGCGAAUUCCCUGACCCUGCAUCUGCUGUCCUGGAAAACCUUGUGGAGGCAUCAUUGAGGGAGGCCUAGCCAUCUGAGUCCCUGGAGUGAAAUUCGCCAUUGUGCCACUGCCAACAGGAGGCGGAGGAACGGGUAGAGCUCCACCUGGGGGCAUAGGCCUAGGCCCAUUUCCCAUUGGAGGUGGAGGUGGUGGCAAGGUUCCAGGCAUAGGAGGCGGUGGUCCUCUUGGAGGAUUAGCAAUUGUUGCACCUGGUGGGAGUCCCUGUGGUGGAGGAGGAG